AUGUCCAACAGGGUGCGCAUUAUGUUCUGACCCUAGAUAUUAUCCAACAAAUUACUGUACAGAGUGCAAAGACGGUUACUAUGGUGACACGUGUAGUCUUUCUUGUUCCGUAGGGUGUUAUUUGAGUAAAUGCAGCCGAAGUAAUGGCACUUGUUACCAAAACAAAUGCAAACCAAAUUUCGAUGGAAACAAUUGUGAGCAAUGUUCUCGAGGACGAUUUGGAAAAGACUGCCAGUCUGCCUGUCCGGAUAAAUGUGUCUCGUGCUCUUCGGAAACGGUAUGUGACAAAUGUAGAGAUGGAUUCUGGGGCGCUAUAUGCCAAAAUAAUUGUUCGCGUGGAUGUUUAGAAGGCAUCUGCUUGAUGACGUCUGGGGCAUGCCGGGACCAUAAAUGCAAAACUGGCUUUGUUGGAGAAAAGUGCGACAGAUGCACUUCCGGAAAACAAGGUUUAGACUGUCAUGUAAAUGAGACAAUGGUUGGUGGCACGAACCACGACGCAAGUACAACAGAUUUCAACGAACAAAUUCAAUAGAAGUUACAAUGCUGUGUUCUUGUCACAGACGUUAGAAGUAGAAUGUCGCCUAUUUCGUAUAAUAUAUAUCAUAAACGCGUACACUUUGAAAUUGUUUACUCCAAGUUGCUUGUUAAUAUCUUGUAGGUUUAUUAAUGAAUAUUAAAACUUUAUGAGAAAAAUA